AUGAACGCUGGCGGCGUGCCUAACACAUGCAAGUCGAACGAGAAAGUCCGAGCUUGCUCGGAUUAGUAAAGUGGCGCACGGGUGAGUAACGCGUGGGUAACCUACCCUUGAAACUGGGAUAACUUCGCGAAAGCGAUGCUAAUACCGGAUGUCGUCUUUGGGACUGUGGUUUUGGAGAUGAAAGGUGACCUCUUCAUGAAAGUUGCCGUUUGAGGAUGGGCUCGCGUACCAUUAGCUAGUUGGUGGGGUAAUGGCCCACCAAGGCAUCGAUGGUUAGCUGGUCUGAGAGGAUGAUCAGCCACACUGGAACUGGAACACGGUCCAGACUCCUACGGGAGGCAGCAGUGAGGAAUUUUGCGCAAUGGGGGCAACCCUGACGCAGCAACGCCGCGUGAGUGAAGAAGGCUUUCGGGUCGUAAAGCUCUGUCAAAUGGGAAAAAGGCCUUUAGUUGAAUAGGCUAAAGGAUUGAUGGUACCAUUGGAGGAAGCACCGGCUAACUCCGUGCCAGCAGCCGCGGUAAUACGGAGGGUGCGAGCGUUGUUCGGAAUUAUUGGGCGUAAAGAGCGUGUAGGCGGGUUGGUAAGUCAGAUGUGAAAGCCCCGGGCUCAACCCGGGAAGUGCAUUUGAAACUGCCUUUCUUGAGUAUGGGAGAGGAGAGUGGAAUUCCNGUGUAAAGGUGAAAUUCGUAGAUAUUGGGAGGAACACCCGUGGCGAAGGCG
rnacentral:rRNA from 1 species